AGCAAACAGUUCAUGACCCAGAGAGAACAAAAUAUUUUGGCUUUCCCUGUCUUUCAGCACCUGUUUAAACCAAUGUGCCUUCAAAUCUCUGCACAGAUCAGAAGAUGCAGCCAGUAACUGGACAGAGGCCACUUCAUGGUGGAGCCAGUCUUGCAAUGGGGUGCUCAAGGAAAGAUUAAGAAGUAAAAGAGACAGAUUGGAAUGAAGGUGGGUGUAAGAAGCAAUUAAAUGUGAAAGCAAGGAUGUCCUGAUUUGGGGACCUGCCUUGGCUUCUGUAAUCUCUACAGAUGCAGCACAGAGCUACAGAUACCAUGUGCCCUCUCAUCGCAGCAUGAAAUGAAAGGAAAGAUGUUCUACCUGCUAUGGAUGUCUGCACUUCAUGUGUUCUGUAGGCCCUCAAGACACAUGAGAGGAGUGAUGGCAAUCUUGGGAAUGGAAUCGUAGCUUCUCAGGACAGUGAUAAAGGCAGAAGCUCUGCAGCCAGAUUCUGAGUAAAUAUCUGAUCUCUAUCAUUCACUGUGAGU
rnacentral:lncRNA from 1 species